rnacentral:rRNA from 1 species
CCUACGGGAGGCAGCAGUGGGGAAUCUUGCGCAAUGGGCGAAAGCCUGACGCAGCAACGCCGCGUGCGGGAUGACGGCCUUCGUGGUUGUAAACCGCUUUCAGCAGGGACGAAAAUGACGGUACCUGCAGAAGAAGCCCCGGCUAACUACGUGCCAGCAGCCGCGGUAAUACGUAGGGGGCAAGCGUUGUCCGGAAUCAUUGGGCGUAAAGAGCUCGUAGGCGGUUCAGUAAGUCGGGUGUGAAAGCUCCGAGCUCAACUCGGAGAGGCCACUCGAUACUGCUGUGACUAGAAUCCAGUAGGGGAGUGUGGAACUCCUGGUGUAGCGGUGAAAUGCGCAGAUAUCAGGAAGAACACCAGCGGCGAAGGCGGCACUCUGGGCUGGUAUUGACGCUGAGGAGCGAAAGUGUGGGUAGCAAACAGGAUUAGAUACCCCUGUAGUC